rnacentral:tRNA from 1 species
GAGGUUGUGGCUCAGUGGAAGAGCACUUGCCUAGCAUGUAUGAGGCACUGGGUUCAAUUCUCAGCACCACA